rnacentral:snRNA from 1 species
GGCAGAAUCAGCGGGGAAAG